GUCGAUCGCGCCCUUCGGGGUGAGCGGCGGACGGGUGAGUAACGCGUGGGGACGUGCCUUUCGGUGCGGGAUAGCCCGGGGAAACCCGGAUUAAUACCGCAUGCGCCCUGAGGGGGAAAGAUUUAUCGCCGAGAGAUCGACCCGCGUUGGAUUAGGUAGUUGGUGGGGUAAUGGCCUACCAAGCCGACGAUCCAUAGCUGGUUUGAGAGGAUGAUCAGCCACACUGGGACUGAGACACGGCCCAGACUCCUACGGGAGGCAGCAGUGGGGAAUCUUAGACAAUGGGGGCAAUCCUGAUCUAGCCAUGCCGCGUGAGUGACGAAGGCCUUAGGGUCGUAAAGCUCUUUCGCCGGGGAAGAUAAUGACGGUACCCGGAGAAGAAGUCCCGGCUAACUCCGUGCCAGCAGCCGCGGUAAUACGGAGGGGACUAGCGUUGUUCGGAAUUACUGGGCGUAAAGCGCGCGUAGGCGGGCUGGUCAGUCAGGGGUGAAAUCCCGGGGCUCAACCCCGGAACUGCCUUUGAUACUGCC
rnacentral:rRNA from 1 species